AGUAACGGCGAGUGAACGGAGAUUAGCCCAGCACCGAAGCCUGUUCAUGUAUGUGGACAAGGCAAUGUGGUGUUUAGACAUGCAUCUUGGAUGGCUCGGCUGCUCGAAGGCCAACUCCGAUUAUGGCUUUGGAUUUGUCCCAUAGAGGGUGAAAGGCCCGUUCGAGUAGGCAUUGCUCUUUUGAGCUGUCUUUAGAUAUGCGUGUUCUAGAGUCGGAUUGCUUGAGAAUGCAGUCCAAAGUGGGUGGUAAACUCCAUCCAAGGCUAAAUACUGGCACGAGUCCGAUAGUAGACAAGUACCGUGAGGGAAAGUUGAAAAGUACUCUGAAGAGAGAGUAAAUAGUACGUGAAGCCGACUGAAUCGAAGCUGGUGGAGUCAAGCUUCUAGCUUGCAGAAUUGACGCGGAGACCUUGCUGGUUAAGGAGUCUAGCUGGGCUAGCUUUUAAAUAGCUGGGUACCUUGGUACUUCAUGUUAUCUGGGCUGGUUGCAUUUGUCUCGCUGUGAACUCCGGUCUCUUGUGUUAUUUCUUCUUGCUUGUAUCACGGUCAAUGUUCUUGUGGUGUGAGUAUGUCUAACCGAGUUAUAGUGUGCAUUCUGCUUGCUUGACUCGGGAUGGCAGGUGAUGACCCUUGAGCUUUGCUUAAUGGUCAUGUAUACUGGUUUCGACCUGCUGAUGUACACACUGCUAAUACUAUCAAGUUCAUUGCUUCUAUAUCGGCAGUAUCCUUAUUAAGUUUCUGUCGUGAGAGCCGUGGUUUUGAAGUAGAUUUUCCACCGGACCCGUCUUGAAACACGGACCAAGGAGUUNAANUUGAUCGCGAGUCAUUGGAUUCUUAUGAAAUCCGAAGGCGCAAUGAAAGUGAACGGUUGCAUUUGUAGCCGAAGGUGUGAUCUUGGUUUACCUUGACUAAG
rnacentral:rRNA from 1 species